rnacentral:lncRNA from 1 species
CGGGUGGACAACACCCCUGGAGCCACAGAGCUCGGUUUCCCCCCCAGCGGCAGGAGCAACUCUCAGCAGCCAGGCAGCGGGGCGGCACGGCCAAAGGCCGCAGUCGGGAUCCCAGCCCCGAUUCCAGGGAGGGCGCAAGCCCCACCCCACAUCUCACGGCCCCGCGCCUCUGAAAGGCCGGGGCCACAUUCCCACCUGAGUACAGGGGGUCUCUCAGAACGCAGCUCACCAAGCACACACGGGGGGCACACACAGCCCUGCCUACAGGACGGUACCCCCACACCUCACCCUCUUCAAGAAGCCCCGCGGAGCACGAGGCUCCCGCCAACGCCUGAGUUACAGGCUGGCCCGCCCGGCAGCAGCAGAACAUCACCAACGCCUCGUCUUUGGAAGCCCAGGGAGCUACCUCGACCCACCGAGCGGGGAGGUCACCCCACACACAAACAGCACCUCAACCUGCACCCUCUGACGGGACAGGGAGGGGUCACUCCCACCAGCUGGAUGGCUAAAGCAGCCGGCUGCAACGCUGCAGCCUCCCCACACCUGAUUACAGGGCGGGCGGGCUGCUCAGGGACAGAGGGCUCCAAAGCUUGGGACACACACCCCGAGUACGGGGCUGUCACCGCCGCCAGCAGGACAGGCAGCCACGCAAGGACAGGCCCAAGCCCUGGCUACAGGGAGGCCUUGGCCACAGAACUACCGUGUGGCUCUGAUCUGCACUAAGGAAAAUAGUAGGAAGACAGGACACUCGCUGCGCUCGCAGGACUAAGAGGGAACACCCCUUUUGCGGCAUGCACCAAAGUCCUCCAUUCCCCCCUGGGAAGUCAAAGCUAAGCUGCAGCCAUCUUUGUGGAGGCCUAAAGGGAAAGCACAGCCGCUCAACCACUCCACAAACACAAUCAAGGAAAGGAAGGGGAACACGCACACACAGGCACAACUUUCCAGAAGGGAAGGACAACGCAGCACAGCCAACACCUGGGAAUAAACCCACAACCACGGGCAACAGACAAGAGCCUGUGACCUGUCCCUAGGCUGCACGGAGGCCACGGACCUCAACGUGCCAAGGGGCUUCUCAGAUAAAGCCA